GUGCCAGCAGCCGCGGUAAUACAGAGGGUGCAAGCGUUAAUCGGAAUUACUGGGCGUAAAGCGCGCGUAGGUGGUUCGUUAAGUUGGAUGUGAAAUCCCCGGGCUCAACCUGGGAACUGCAUUCAAAACUGACGAGCUAGAGUAUGGUAGAGGGUGGUGGAAUUUCCUGUGUAGCGGUGAAAUGCGUAGAUAUAGGAAGGAACACCAGUGGCGAAGGCGACCACCUGGACUGAUACUGACACUGAGGUGCGAAAGCGUGGGGAGCAAACAGGAUUAGAAACCCCAGUAGUCC
rnacentral:rRNA from 1 species